rnacentral:rRNA from 1 species
GAUGAACGCUGGCGGCGUGCCUAACACAUGCAAGUCGAACGAAGCACCAUGAUUUCUUCGGAAUGAGAGGUGACUGAGUGGCGGACGGGUGAGUAACGCGUGGGUAACCUGCCUCAUACAGGGGGAUAACAGUUAGAAAUGACUGCUAAUACCGCAUAAGACCACGAAGUCGCAUGACUUUGUGGGAAAACUCCGGUGGUAUGAGAUGGACCCGCGUCUGAUUAGCUAGUUGGUGGGGUAACGGCCUACCAAGGCGACGAUCAGUAGCCGACCUGAGAGGGUGACCGGCCACAUUGGGACUGAGACACGGCCCAA